CUACCCGCAACAGGAGGAUAGCUCCCCGAAACGGGGAAGUUAACCCUCCAUGAGAUCACACGAGGGCAUCUGAGAGUGAUUAAAUCUGAGGAGGUUGUGGAUGAGCAUGCGACUGAUUAGCUAGUUGGCAGUGUAACGGACUACCAAGGCGAUGAUCAGUAGGGGAACUGAGAGGUUGAUCCCCCACACUGGCACUGAGAUACGGGCCAG
rnacentral:rRNA from 1 species